rnacentral:rRNA from 1 species
UACGUAGGGGGCAAGCGUUGUCCGGAUUCAUUGGGCGUAAAGAGCGUGUAGGCGGCCAGGUAGGUCGGUUGUGAAAACUGGAGGCUCAACCUUCAGAGGUCGACCGAAACCAUCUGGCUAGAGUCCGGGAGAGGAGAGUGGAAUUCCUGGUGUGAGCGGUGGAAAUGCGCAGAUAUCAGGAAGAACACCCGUGGCGAAAGCGGGCUCUCUGGAACGGUACUGACGCUGAGACGCGAAAGCGUGGGGAGCGAAC